rnacentral:rRNA from 1 species
UGGGGAAUAUUGGACAAUGGGCGAAAGCCUGAUCCAGCCAUGCCGCGUGAGUGACGAAGGCCUUAGGGUUGUAAAACUCUUUCGUCGGGGACGAUAAUGACGGUACCCGAAGAAGAAGCUCCGGCUAACUUCGUGCCAGCAGCCGCGGUAAUACGAAGGGAGCUAGCGUUGUUCGGAAUCACUGGGCGUAAAGCGCACGUAGGCGGAUAGUUAAGUCAGGGGUGAAAUCCUGGGGCUCAACCCCAGAACUGCCUUUGAUACUGGCUGUCUCGAGGUCGAGAGAGGUUGGUGGAAUUCCUAGUGUAGAGGUGAAAUUCGUAGAUAUUGGGAAGAACACCAGUGGCGAAGGCGGCUAACUGGUCCGGUACUGACGCUGAGGUGCGAAAGCGUGGGGAGCAAACAGGAUUAGAUACCCUAGUAGUCCCUGAGCGGGCUGGCAAGGCGCAU